rnacentral:rRNA from 2 species
GCUUGCUUCUCUGAUGUUAGCGGCGGACGGGUGAGUAACACGUGGGUAACCUACCUAUAAGACUGGGAUAACUCCGGGAAACCGGGGCUAAUACCGGAUAAUAUUUUGAACCGCAUGGUUCAAUAGUGAAAGACGGUUUCGGCUGUCACUUAUAGAUGGACCCGCGCCGUAUUAGCUAGUUGGUAAGGUAACGGCUUACCAAGGCGACGAUACGUAGCCGACCUGAGAGGGUGAUCGGCCACACUGGAACUGAGACACGGUCCAGACUCCUACGGGAGGCAGCAGUAGGGAAUCUUCCGCAAUGGGCGAAAGCCUGACGGAGCAACGCCGCGUGAGUGAUGAAGGUCUUCGGAUCGUAAAACUCUGUUGUUAGGGAAGAACAAAUUUGUUAGUAACUGAACAAGUCUUGACGGUACCUAACCAGAAAGCCACGGCUAACUACGUGCCAGCAGCCGCGGUAAUACGUAGGUGGCAAGCGUUAUCCGGAAUUAUUGGGCGUAAAGCGCGCGUAGGCGGUUUCUUAAGUCUGAUGUGAAAGCCCACGGCUCAACCGUGGAGGGUCAUUGGAAACUGGGAAACUUGAGUGCAGAAGAGGAGAGUGGAAUUCCAUGUGUAGCGGUGAAAUGCGCAGAGAUAUGGAGGAACACCAGUGGCGAAGGCGGCUCUCUGGUCUGUAACUGACGCUGAUGUGCGAAAGCGUGGGGAUCAAACAGGAUUAGAUACCCUGGUAGUCCACGCCGUAAACGAUGAGUGCUAAGUGUUAGGGGGUUUCCGCCCCUUAGUGCUGCAGCUAACGCAUUAAGCACUCCGCCUGGGGAGUACGACCGCAAGGUUGAAACUCAGAGGAAUUGACGGGGACCCGCACAAGCGGUGGAGCAUGUGGUUUAAUUCGAAGCAACGCGAAGAACCUUACCAAAUCUUGACAUCCUUUGACCGCUCUAGAGAUAGAGUCUUCCCCUUCGGGGGACAAAGUGACAGGUGGUGCAUGGUUGUCGUCAGCUCGUGUCGUGAGAUGUUGGGUUAAGUCCCGCAACGAGCGCAACCCUUAAGCUUAGUUGCCAUCAUUAAGUUGGGCACUCUAGGUUGACUGCCGGUGACAAACCGGAGGAAGGUGGGGAUGACGUCAAAUCAUCAUGCC